rnacentral:rRNA from 1 species
AGACCCGAAACCCGGUGAUCUAGCCAUGGGCAGGUUGAAGGUUGGGUAACACUAACUGGAGGACCGAACCGACUAAUGUUGAAAAAUUAGCGGAUGACCUGUGGCUGGGGGUGAAAGGCCAAUCAAACCGGGAGAUAGCUGGUUCUCCCCGAAAGCUAUUUAGGUAGCGCCUCGUGAAUUCAUCUCCGGGGGUAGAGCACUGUUUCGGCUAGGGGGCCAUCCCGGCUUACCAACCCGAUGCAAACUGCGAAUACCGGAGAAUGUUAUCACGGGAGACACACGGCGGGUGCUAACGUCCGUCGUGAAGAGGGAAACAACCCAGACCGCCAGCUAAGGUCCCAAAGUCAUGGUUAAGUGGGAAACGAUGUGGGAAGGCCCAGACAGCCAGGAUGUUGGCUUAGAAGCAGCCAUCAUUUAAAGAAAGCGUAAUAGCUCACUGGUCGAGUCGGCCUGCGCGGAAGAUGUAACGGGGCUAAACCAUGCACCGAAGCUGCGGCAGCGACACUUAAGUGUUGUUGGGUAGGGGAGCGUUCUGUAAGCCGUUGAAGGUGUGCUGUGAGGC